rnacentral:rRNA from 1 species
UACUGAGUUUACGCUCUACAACCCUUUGUGAACAUACCUAUAACUGUUGCUUCGGCGGGUAGGGUCUCCGCGACCCUCCCGGCCUCCCGCCUCCGGGCGGGUCGGCGCCCGCCGGAGGAUAACCAAACUCUGAUUUAACGACGUUUCUUCUGAGUGGUACAAGCAAAUAAUCAAAACUUUUAACAACGGAUCUCUUGGUUCUGGCAUCGAUGAAGAACGCAGCGAAAUGCGAUAAGUAAUGUGAAUUGCAGAAUUCAGUGAAUCAUCGAAUCUUUGAACGCACAUUGCGCCCGCCAGCAUUCUGGCGGGCAUGCCUGUUCGAGCGUCAUUUCAACCCUCAAGCUCUGCUUGGUGUUGGGGCCCUACAGCUGAUGUAGGCCCUCAAAGGUAGUGGCGGACCCUCCCGGAGCCUCCUUUGCGUAGUAACUUUACGUCUCGCACUGGGAUCCGGAGGGACUCUUGCCGUAAAACCCCCAAUUUUCCAAAGGUUGACCUCGGAUCAGGUAGGAAUACCCGCUGAACUUAAGCAUAUCAAUAAGCGGAGGAAAAGAAACCAACAGGGAUUGCCUCAGUAACGGCGAGUGAAGCGGCAACAGCUCAAAUUUGAAAUCUGGCCCUAGGCCCGAGUUGUAAUUU